CUCGUCGGGGUCGUACAGGAGGGUGCGCCCCGUCAGGUCGGUGCCGACUAUCUUGUUAUGCCUUCCACCAAGGAGCAUGAACUCCAUCGUCUCCAUCGGGCAGACCGAUGCACGGAAGCUCAUCACCGGGCAUGGCAGAUUGCCGUACUCCACCGCCGCCGCGCCGUCGUGUGCUCCGGCGUCCAGCGGCGUUGCCAAUUUACGGGGGAGGAAGAAGCGUGACAUGUCCAUGCGCCGCACUGUGUAGUUGCCUUGGACCUUAUCAAGCACCAGAUUCACAAAUCGCCGGUAACUCAUAACUGAUCUUCCUCCUCCAAAUUAUGAACAGGAAUCUACUAGAUAUGUAUAUGCACUAGUUGCAUAUACGAUCGAUCGAUUAGUUGGAUUUAUCCGAAAUUCUUUGUGCUUCGGAUGUUAAUUGUUCAUCUUGUUGAUUCCAACACAUCGAGGCAGCAUGAAUAUCUGUACCUCGAUUUCUCCUUGUACAAAAACCAGAAAUAAUCCAGCAAUUAUUACUCAC
rnacentral:sRNA from 1 species